AACGUAAUUUGUAUUUUUCCACUUUUCCCCAUAAUGACAAUAGACAUCUUCUUAUACUCAAGUAUGAAGAGCGCAUGCAUGCCUGUUGCCCAUGGAAGCCAAGAGAGGACAAUGAAUCCCUUGGCACUGGAGUUAACAGUUGAAAACUGCCAUGCUGGUUUUGGGAAAUGAGUCUUUGCCUGUUGCCUGUUGCUGAGGUUAUAUAUUUGGGUUGUGAUGGCCAGAUGACAAUUAACAUAUGAAGAA